rnacentral:lncRNA from 1 species
UGGAUGCAUAUGCCAUUUCCAGAGAGUGAGAUGACAAAUUAUUUUUAAGUCAGUGGUUCUCCAUUGCUACCUGUCGCCUUUUGGACGCCCUUGCAGAUUACUUCUUGGGAACUCUUGGGUAUGAGUGAUACCAGUAAAUCUCUGAAACAAGACUCUUCAGACAAGGAGACUGUGGUCUGAGGACCACGCUUUGAAGGUGGUGACCACCAAUAUGAGGUCGAUUUGUUAUUGUGGGUGCCAUUACUUCUA